UCUCCAUGGUGGAUCUAAGAACAUGUGGUGUCUGCUGUUCUCUGUGGUGGUAAAAAAGCAACAGAUUUGGCUGUAAAAGCCACAAUAAGCUCAUUAGCUUCUGCAGCAUGAACACAGCACUGUAAUCCACCAUUGCUGUUUUGGUUCAACGGUGCAUGUGGGCUUUGCUGACCACCACUCUUGAUGCUGGGUGUUUCAAGGCACAUGGAAGUAAGGCAUUUCAAGGGGAAUCGUAAGAUAAAAUCCCCUCUAACUGCGACACACCACCUUGGGCCAGACUGUGAAAGGCAGAAACUUACAGAAUAGCUCACCAUCUGCAGUCAGAGAACGUCCCACAGACAGCCCUUUUACAGCUAACUUAAAAGGAUGGCUAAAGUCAAAGCAGACCUGCACACAUACAAAACAGCACUGUACAUAAUGCCCUUCACAGCGUGUGUAUUACAGGAUGUAUCUGAUGUGCAAUGCUACUGACAAGAUGCACACAAUUUGUUGCCUUAUGUAAAUAUAUGCAAUGUUUGUGACAGUUGGAUGCAUUAAUGCA